CAACUUAAUUUCAGUACGCAAUGCAUUCUACCCUCAAAAGCAAUAUGAUUUCAGUGAGGGGGACAUGCUCUCUAUCAGGAGGUGGUGGUUGGACAGCUGUUGGAGACCAUUUAUGCUUGAAAGGUUUAUAUACUGUGUCCAUGUUGCUAUUUACUUAUUUUUGGUGCUCACGAAGAUCGUAGCCAAUACACUCUCCAUCUCCCCAUCUCAGUCACACCUUCCAAUCACUAAGCAGUGAAAGCCCUGCAGGACUAGCUGGCACACCAAGCUCACCCUCUCCAUCUCCCCAUCUCAGCCACACACUCCAAUCUGGCACAACAGAGGACAGGCCAUUCUUACCACCCGAAGUCCUUCAGCAAAUUGUACAAGAGACGCUGAGACUGGACAUGGCGAUGCUUGGCGUGUUCAACAGGGUUUCAAACACAUUCCGAGAACGAAUCAAGCCUCUCCAUCCUUCCAUAUAUAUAAAUGACAGUGUGGCAGGGGAAAUUAAGCUUAAUAAAGACAAUCUCCUAUACAUAACGGUUAGAAAGAUUUACAACAAUGC
ensembl:lncRNA